AUGGGCACCCGCAUUCUUGAGCUGCCAUCCCCUGCAUCAGCAAUUUCCUCCUGCAGCUUGGGAAUUCCACUUUGUGAGAGGGGAACCCUGAAGCAAGAUCAGGUCUUAGGGACCAAGAAGAGGAAAUUAGAGGCCACGCACCCCUCAGUAGCUGAGAAAGUGGUGUCCCCGGGGCAGGAGGACUCGGUGCUGUCCCAUCGCGGCAUAGGCCGGAGUGAUGAUUCUGACAUCUGGGAAGAUGCAGCACUGAUAAAAGCUUACAAUAAAGCUGUGACUUCAUUUAAGCCUGCUCUAAACAAUGAUGACAUCUCUGAAGGUUCAGAUAAACCAAAAGGCAUACCUAAAGGAAAACCUACUAAGAAGAAUAAAAGCCAAAAAAAGAAGACCACAAUUCCCUUGAAGCAGUAGAAAAUUGGUGACAAUGUUCCGCCAUUUGAUCAGAAGAUGGAUGCAUUUACCCCGCAACCAUUGUUUCAAUUGAUUUUAAGAGAGAAACCUGUGUGGUGGUUUACACUGGAUAUAGAAAUAGAGAGGAGCAAAAUCUGUCCCAUCUACUUUCCCCAACGUCUGAAGUAACUAACAAUAUAGAAGAGAAUGCCCAAGAGAAUGAAAAUGAAAGUCAAAUUUCAACAGAAGAAAGUAAGAGCUCCUCCAGGUCUUCUGGAAAUAAACCAAAUAAUAUCAAGUCAAAAGUGGCUCCAUGGAACUCUUUUCUCCCUCCACCACCCCCGAUGCCAGGAUCAGGACGGGGACCAGGAAAGCCAGCACCACCACCACCACCAGUAUGUCCAGAUUCUAUUGAUGAUGCUGAUGCUUUGGGAAGUACGUUAAUCUCUUAGUAUAUGAAUGGUUACUAAGCUGGUUACUAUAUGGGUUUCAAACAAAAUCAGAAAGAAGGAAGAUGCUCACAUUUUAAUUAA